GGAUGAAGAGGAGGAGGAGGAGGAGCCCGGGGGGGGCCCCGCGCCCCCCUGGAAAAGCAGCACCCCCUUCGUGGAGCUGCCGCGCCAGGACGGCGCCACCACGUACCGGCGGGGCUGGCUGGCGCGCAAGGUGCUGGCCGAGGCCGACGGCAAGAAGGCACCCUGGGGCCGGCGGGGCUGGAAGCCCUUCCACACGGUGCUGAAGGGGACGCUGCUCUACUUCCUCAAAGCGGGGACCCCCCGCCGGGGGUCCGAGCCCCCCGGGACCCCCCCGGCAGAGGCCGAGGAGCCCCUGGGGGUCCACCACGCCUUGGCCGAGCGCGCCAGCAAGUACACCAAGCGCCCCCACGUCUUCCGCCUGCAGACGGCCGACCAGCGCGUCCUCCUCUUCCAGGCCCCGAGCGAGGAGGAGAUGUCCUCC